UAUACCCUGAAGCGUGUUGAUGGGUGGACUGUGGAUAAUAGAUUUAUACCCUGAAGCGUGUUGAUAGGUGGACUGUAGAUAAUAGAUUUAUACCCUGAAGCGUGUUGAUAGGUGGACUGUAGAUAAUAGAUUUAUACCCUGAAGCGUGUUGAUAGGUGGACUGUAGAUAAUAGAUUUAUACCCUGAAGCGUGUUGAUAGGUGGACUGUGGAUAAUAGAUUUAUACCCUGAAGCGUGUUGAUAGGUGGACUGUGGAUAAUAGAUUUAUACCCUGAAGCGUGUUGAUAGGUGGACUGUAGAUAAUAGAUUUAUACCCUGAAGCGUGUUGAUAGGUGGACUGUAGAUAAUAGAUUUAUACCCUGAAGCGUGUUGAUAGGUGGACUGUAGAUAAUAGAUUUAUACCCUGAAGCGUGUUGAUGGGUGGACUGUAGAUAAUACAUUUAUACCCUGAAGCGUGUUGAUAGGUGGACUGUAGAUAAUAGAUUUAUACCCUGAAGCGUGUUG